GGAACGAGGAUGGAAGUGGACUCCUGUGGGAGCAAUGCCACCCUACCAGGGCCCUCAAUGCCACCCUACCAGGGCCCCCCUGUUCCUUCUGGAGGAUACCACACGUCUGUUGUUGGAGGACUCUACUACUCGGCCUUUUUUAAAUGGAUAUAAAGUGUAAUGACAAGGGUCUCCAGCCACCACAUGGAUUGGGGGUCUGUUUCUGUCUUUGGUUAUCUAGCUGUAUGAGUAUCAAAAACCUGUCAUAAAGCUAGAUAACCGAAUGUAGGAACGACUUCCAGAACAUCCAGCAGGGAAAUAAAUCUACUUUGGAAUUAAAGAUUUUCAAUUAGCGCCGUUGGAGCUGAAAAGAUGCUCCAAGCGACAAUUCGAGAGGAAAACCAGGAUGGGGUCGCAACAGCAAUGGGAUGCCAUCUGCGCCGCCAGGGAGGGACGGCGUGCCCAAUGCCAGGAGGCGCACAAAGACCUUGGCCCAUCCUCCGAUUCUGGAGGAGCCAUCUUGGGAGAUGCCAUGAUAUCUAAAAUGGCUGGGCCUGACAUACAAGGAUGGAAACUUCAAGCUGCACCAAAGUCAUCCAAAAGUCAUCAUAAAAAUUAUUGUUGUAAAGUCUUUAUUUUGUCGAAAUUGUUCAAGUGUUAUUGAGUUAUUUUCUUAUGUAAAAUGUAAAAUUUAUUAUGAAAUCUGCAAAUAAAAAGCUUCC